rnacentral:rRNA from 1 species
AUGUUCUUCUCCACAAAGACAUGCAUUGCUACGAUCAUGGUGCUGGCGCUGGUGCUGGCGCAUCAAGGCACCGUUGACUCCAGCCGCCUCUUUCCCAACUCCCAUGGUUGUCCAGAUGGCUAUCAUUUGACAUGCUACGUUCUUCGUAGUUCAGGAGUCUGUAGGUGUAUGCGAGAUCAUCGACUUGUGGAUCACGAAUCCACGGUGGCGAGGAACAGCCUCGUGUCGCCCCAGAUAGCGUGCCCAGAAGGCCAAGUGUGGAUUGGCAAGUUUGGGCACUGCUCCGUCAAGUGA